rnacentral:rRNA from 1 species
UACGGAGGGGGCUAGCGUUGUUCGGAAUUACUGGGCGUAAAGCGCACGUAGGCGGCUUUGUAAGUUAGAGGUGAAAGCCCGGAGCUCAACUCCGGAAUUGCCUUUAAGACUGCAUCGCUUGAAUCAUGGAGAGGUGAGUGGAAUUCCGAGUGUAGAGGUGAAAUGCUUAGAUAUCGGGUGGAACACCAGUGGCGAAGGCGGUGUUCUGGGCCGGAACUGACGCUGAGGAGCGAAAGCGUGGGUAGCAAACAGG